rnacentral:rRNA from 1 species
CCUGAGAAACCCGAAAGAUCGAAUGGGGAGAUUCACCGUCAGCGACGUCGGCUUCACGGUGGUUCGCGAUGCGCGGCGCCCUUACGGGCGACGUCGCACGCGGCCGACGUGUUUUAUGUCCGGCGGCGUCGUCGUGCACUUCUCCCCUAGUAGGACGUCGCGACCCGUUGGGUGUCGGUCUACGGCCUGGGUCGUCGCCUGUCCCGUCGCUUCGGCGUUGCGGGGCAGACACCCUGUAGCCCGGCCGGCUGCCCGGCGGUACUCGCACGGUAUCUGGUCGCAAUCGAACUGCGUCUUAGGCCCGCCGCAAGCGCGGUCAGUGUAUACCCGGAGGUACGGACCUAGCGCCGUCCCCGGGCCUGACCCGCUGUUCGCCUGGCGGUGUCCUCUGACAGGCCACGUUUUUCUCAAUGAUACCGGUCGGCGACGCUACUGCUUUGGGUACUUUCAGG